GAUGAAGAACGUAGUGAAAUGCGAGAAGUAAUGCGAAUUGCAGAAUUUCCGUGAGUCAUCGAAUCUUUGAACGCACAUUGCGCCCACUGGUAUUCCGGUGGGCAUGCCUGUUCGAGCGUCAUUAUCCUCCCUCAAACCCCGGGUUUGGUGUUGGACCGAAGUUGUGUGAACAACUGGUCUAAAAAACAAUGACGGCGUCCGUGGGACCCUCGGUGCAACGAGCUUUUAGGAGCACGCGCCGAGUUGCAAGGACCUUCCGGGCCGGUCUCCUUUUACUAUUUUACAAGGUUGACCUCGGAUCAGGUAGGAAUACCCGCUGAACUUAAGCAUAUCAAUAAGCGGAGGA
rnacentral:misc_RNA from 1 species